UAGGUAUUGCACCAUACAUGCUGUAUGCACACGCUAGACCACCAGUUAAACUUGCCUGAUCAUUUCUCUUCUACUAAUAUAAUCGGACAGACUUGUUCAGUUGGACACCUUUUGUGGGCAGAGAGCAAAGAACACACGUGGGUCUUCUACUGAUUGCUGUACUGUAGUUUUUGCUUCUCACGUGUUCUUUGUCAGCAAAGAAGCCGAGCACUUCAGGAUAUCACAAGAAAACACUGGGUGCUGAAGUGAACUUUUGUUUGCCUUUGUUGAGGGGGCUGUGUUUCAUAGGGAAUGACAAUUUAUAAUAUGCUCUGGUUUGUCAUGCUGUAACAACUGUGCCUCACUCCAGACAGGAAAUACACAUACCAGUAACUUUCAACUCAAGAUCAACAUCCUCAAAGAUAUCAGUUUCAACUUCUUCUAGAUUUUGAAAAGCAGAUUGUUCAUCAGAUCAAAGGAGCUUGCUGGUAGUGUUUUAUUGGGGUAACAUUUUCAAGAGGCUGACAAGACUGUUUACUUCAAAGUCUGUUCUUUCGGUGAGAGCCGUUGUUCAUCUGCAAUGUACAUCAUGUCUGAAGCAUACAUUGAGUCUGGUCAACCCCUGAACCUUGUCCAACCGUCCAAGAGCAAAGCAAAGAUGAUGGCGAGAGCUGCUGCCCAGCGGAGCAUGCACCAUGUUGAUUCCAAUUGCCCCUGCCCCCAGAUAGACUCUAAAAGCUCCAUCUUGUACCGGUUGCUGACGGACAACUACUACAGUGGGGUACCUUGCUCAUGCUCGAGCCCCCAUUGUCAUAGCAGUUUGCCAAGCCCACGUGAGAGCAAACUUAAAAUCCUCUUGGAGGAGUCAAAGAAGCAAGCUGUGCAAUCGUAACUAGAAGAGACAGAGUCUUUGUGAUAAUCACCAGUCAAUGCUAUGAAUAUUCCAGGCUUAGUAGACCCAGCAAUGGUUGAGACUCUACAAAGUGAAGCCCAGCUGCGAUUGAGCGAGUACGUGGCAUCCAUGCACCCCCAGGACCCUCUGCGCUUUGCCCGCGUGCUCCUCAGUCUUCCCCCUUUGCGCAACAUCCGUUCCCGUGUCAUCACGCAGCUCUUCUUCCGUGACCUCAUCGGGGCCGUGUCCAUGGAGGAUCUGCUGGAACAGAUGCUGGCCGUUCGCUGAUCAGGAAGAUGCGGCAAACUUAAAGAUGAUAACAUUAAAAAAAAAAUAAUAAUAAGAUGUUGAUGUGAUGCAUAGAGAGAGAAGUCUUUAUAGUUUAUCUAUCUUGGGUUUGAUGGUCAAUUCUCUCAUUUGUUUCCAAUCUCGAACCAAAGAAAAGUAGGUUCGUUUAUUUUAAUUUUGUAUUGCACUUUUGGUUUACAAAACACUUUUUGUCACCGUUACAAUGGUUCUGAUUUGAUCAGAACUGCUUUUUAAAGCAAGGAUUCCUGCUUAACACAUUACUUUACCAAUAUAAAAACAAUGUUGCACACUUUAAGAAAAGUCAAAGUUUAUAUUCAAAAUAACAGAUUUAGAAUAUAUAAAAAGAUUUUUGUUUUUAAAGAAUGGCCGGAUGUAAGUAGAAGUGACCAAACCCAAGUAGAUUUCAAUCUUGCAUACAUGUCAUAUUGCCCACCUUUGCCACCGACUUUUAUGACCAAUAUUUCUACACAGAUAAUUCAAAGAUACAUAUACAUGUACAAAGUGAUAUUUUACGUAAAAACAACUGUGUCUAGCAUUUCUAGUGAAGGAAUCAAUUGGCUAUAGACUUUUAUCAUGCUGGGGGGUUAUCUUUGUUGGUUCCCUGUGUGAAGUCAUCUCAUUGAUAGCAUAUUAUUUAAAAGGGACCAGUCCAUUUCCCAGGCAGCAACAUGAAAAAGGUCCCUAUGCCAGCAAUCUUUUACUGUCAGAAUGUGAACAUUAGAUCAGUGUUAAUUUAUUGCACAUAAAUGUGACAUAAAACAAGCUUGAGUAGGUUUCUAGUUUGAAAGAAGCAAGCAUUUUUUCCUGCUAGAAGUUUUAAACAUUAUUGAUGAGAAAUCAAGAGUUUGGUAGUGAACUCACCAUGACCAAAAAUCGCAAUUGUAAAGAGUUUAAACUGUUGGUUCUGCAUAUACUACUCUCUUGGUAACAUUUGAAAAGUGCCAAGUGUUUUUGUCAACUAUGAAAUUGGCAUCUGUGCAUGCAAUACAUGCAUGCAGAUUUCUGUAACUCAUAUUUUCAUGUGUAUGAUAAAGUAAACAGUUGGCACAGUACCUUUUGAGAAUGAAAAACAACACAGAAACUUAACAGCUAUUGACGCUAACUUUUCCAGAUACUUUGAGUUUUUAAAUCUGAAAAUAUAUUUGGUUACGUAUCAAUCAUUUUAAAAUCAACAUAAAGUUGUGGGGGACAAAUAGUUAAUUUAAAGGGCUUUGGAAAUCUAUGCACACUGGUGAUUUGAGCAAAUGUUUAUUUAUUUAAAAUGACCAACGGAUGAUGUUAGGUCAUUGUCAUAUAAUGUACAGUAACUUUUUUCCCACCUAUAGAUGUAAACAAGUCAUAAGGAAUGUACAGAGGUUUUUGGAGUUUUCUUAAGGAUAGCGUAUUUUAUGUCUGUGUGUGUCAUCCGUAGUAUUUUCCUGACUGAAAGUCACUGAGUGUAAUGUAUUUGUGAUGCAAUGAAUAGUGUUCAAAUCAUGUCCCAUCUCAUGCAUGAUUCUGGACACUGAAUAGAAUGGUAUAAUGGCAAGGAGCCAGACAGUGUAAAGUCCAAGACAUUUACAAACUAAUUUUCGAUAUUUUUUAUUGUGGUUCAAAGUCUGGCUGCAAACCUUGCUGUUGUAUCUGCCUACCAAACUUGAGCCCAGCUUUGUGCUAAAAGCCUACUAUGUGGCCACAUUUGCUGUGAACGAUUCUGUUGAGUUUCAUCUUAUAGCUAUCAUUCUAUGUAGCCUCUAAUUUAUAAAAGUGGCUACAACAUUGAUUACCUCUAUAGUUACCAAUGGCUGCACUGUGUCUGCUUGGACAGUCUUGUAAUGUUAUCUUUUUCGAGCUGACCAGCUAACCAGAGCAGUCAAGCCAACGGCACCAAAGUUUAAGUUCCAAUGUUGUUACAUUGUAUAAAGAAAGAUCAAGAAAAUGAUUUCAACAGAAAAAGCAGAAAAUAAAAUUAUGUUCUGUUGAGUUGUUAAAACAAAUUUUUCUAAUACAGCUUUGAAUGAAAACUUGGUUUAGAAAAUCGAAAACAAAUUAAGUAUGUUUUACUCCACUCUAUUAUGCUACUAAGUAGUACACUGUCCUAUACUUAUGCAAUGUUGCGCUUUUUGUUUGUGAAACUAGAUCGAUUUGAACUCGUUUUUCUUCUUCUUCUUUCCAUCAAAAGCAGCACCAGUGCAGUUUUGUGUGACUCUUAUUUAGUGAGUUUCCAAACUGGUUUGUUUAUUAUUUUUUUUGUAUUCCCCAGUGUGAUGUAAGGAAGACAAGAAAAGUUUUCGAAAAAUGGUAUAUUUUGAGACGUUCUGAGAUAGAGCAGCUGUAUAAAGAAAAGUUGUGUGGGUUGAUUAAAAAACCCAUUUUAUUUAUUGUGAUUAGUAAAAUACUAUUUAUGAUUAGAGAUAACGUGGAGCCGUUCUGCUUGAUUAUUAUGCCUUAUUUUGUGUCCUAUAGUUUCAAGAUGGAUUCCCGAGACUGGUAGAAAUGUCUGUUGUUUGGUACAGUUGAACAAAAAUAAAACUGAUUAUAGAAAAACAAAAUUUCUCUGAUAGGUGUGUAAUGAGUUGCUGGUUUGAAAGCAAAUUAAGUAAGUGCGUGACUUUAACUGAAAUAUCACUUUAUGCUUACGAUCAAUAGUUCCUUAGUGAAAGAAGAAGAGAGAAAGAAUUUGGCUGCAAUAAACAAUAUUUUGAAGACAGAAAAAAACGAAGAAGAAAAAAAGGAGAAAAAAAAUACGUUUGAAGAAUAAAAACCAAAAUAUUUGUUGUUAUUGGGAAGCCAAGCCAAUCUGAAAUACUGCUUGUGUUUAUUUGUAGUUGUAUACUUCAGAACAGUAUAGUGUAUAAAUAUUUAAACUUGAAGAUAUUUGUGUUGCGUUUUUUCCUGAAGUUGGCAAUGUGUUUGUAUACCUGUUAAUUCCAACAAAGAUUUGACGUUAAAGCUUUUAGAAUCUCAGUAUUUGACCUUUUCAAUUCUGCCGUUUAAGAGUACCAAGAAAAUAAUGGUACCAAGAAAACGGUGGAAGACUGUUACUUUAUUUAAAAUAAAGGGAUGGCUCUGAGAACAAGUCCACUGGUCGUUCAUCAUUUAGACAAAACAUUAUAAUUUACAAUAUUUAUUCUGGGAGUGUCUAAUUCUGUUCGAAGAGAAACGUUGCUCUGGGACGUAAACAAAAAGGGGAUAGCUUUAGGACCCCUAUCUUCCCAACCCUUUUCUUAUUGAAGAGUGCAAGCCCGAACUCUUAAUAAGGAAGGUAUCAAACGAAAGCUAGAUGUUUUUUCAGUCGGAAUCUCAUUUACUCAUUCAGUGCCAACAAUACCAGCCACAAAUCAGUCUAACCUAAUGGAGGCCAAGCUCAUAAUUUUAAAGUUGACUAAAAUAACAGAAAGAUUCGAAAAUGGAAUUAACUUGUAAAUAUGUAGCGCUAGUAAUAAGAGAUUUACAUGAUCUCGAAAUAAUAAUAUAUUGAAUUCUUAAGAUAAAGUUGUGUUCGUGUCUAUGUGAAAUAUUACUCGGUUUUUGUUUUCCCAGAUCAUUGUGUGAAUUAAAAAAAAGAAGCUUACUAACAGGAGUCUUAUUUCGCAAAAAGAUUCAGCGAUUUUAUUACUAGGGAUUUUUUCCUUUGCGUCUUGUGUAAUUGUUGUAAAAUCUCUCUUAUUGUGUUGUUGUAUUACAAUAAAAGAGAAAGCAGAACUGUAAAACAAGCUUGA